rnacentral:misc_RNA from 1 species
GUUGUAACACAGUGUUAUUGUUUAGGUUACUACAUAGCUAAUCAUGUGAAUACACUUUUCCAAGGGGAAAAAAGUUAGCUUAAAUAUUUAGCACACGAGACCCAAAUAUGCGCACAUACAAUGAGCCACAUAAACAUUAGGGUCAUGGUUUAACCUAAUGUGCACUUGAUUCCUCCCUUAUUCAAAAUAAUACGAUUUGGCAUUCAACGGUUUCUUUUUUUUUUUUAUUGGAUAAA